AAGACACUAGUAAAAUAGUUAUUACACCGCCUUGUCAAGGCAGAGUCGUAGGUUAGACCCCUGCGUGUCUUA
rnacentral:tRNA from 1 species